UUUUAGUUCUGAUUUGCGUUAGGGAUUGCAGUGAAAAGCCCACAGCGAGGUACGAGCGAGGACUUGCAACGAAAAGCCCGACCCUUG
rnacentral:sRNA from 1 species